GCCGCGGUGGUGAAACUGGUAGACACAGCGGACUUAAAAUCCGCCGCAAGCGCAAGCGAGCAUGCCGGUUCGAGUCCGGCCCGCGGCACCA
rnacentral:tRNA from 1 species